CCUACAGGUGGCAGCCGUGGGGAAUAUUGCACCAUGGGUGAAACCCUGAUGCAGCAUCGCCGCGUGAGUGAAGCAAGAUUUCGGUAUGUACAGCUCUAUCAGCAGGGAACAAGAUGACGUUACCUGAAUAAGAAGCCCCGACUAACUACGUUCCAGCAGCCGCGAGACGACGUAGUGGGCAAGCGUUAUCCGGAUUUACUGGGUGUCAAGUGAGCGCAGACGGCAGUGCAAGUCUGGAGUGAAAGCCCGGGGCCGAACCCCGGAACUUCUCUUGAGACUGUGCGGCUAGAGUAAUGGAGGGGCAGGCGGAAAUCCUAGGGUAGCGGGGACAUGCGUAGAUAUGAGGAGGAACACCAGUGGCGAAGGCGGCCUGCUGGACAGUAACUGACGUUGAGGCUCGAAAGCGUGGGGAGCAAACAGGAUUAGAUACCCUAGUAGUC
rnacentral:rRNA from 1 species